rnacentral:rRNA from 1 species
GCCUCAGUAACGGCGAGUGAAGCGGCAAUAGCUCAAAUUUGAAAUCUGGCAUCCGCCCGAAUUGUAAUUUGUAGAGGAUGCUUCGGCUUACGUCUCGGUCUAAGUUCCUUGGAACAGGACGUCACAGAGGGUGAGAAUCCCGUUUGUGGCCGUGACUUCCGCCAUGUGAAGCUCCUUCGACGAGUCGAGUUGUUUGGGAAUGCAGCUCUAAAUGGGAGGUAUGUUUCUUCUAAAGCUAAAUACCGGCCAGAGACCGAUAGCGCACAAGUAGAGUGAUCGAAAGAUGAAAAGCACUUUGGAAAGAGAGUUAAAAAGUACGUGAAAUUGUUGAAAGGGAAGCGCUUGCAACCAGACUUGCUCGUAGUUGCUCAACCGGUCCUCCGGCCGGUGCACUCUUCUACGGUCAGGCCAGCAUCAGUUCGGGUGGUUGGAGAAAGGCCUUGAGAAUGUGGCUCUCUUCGGGGAGUGUUAUAGCUCUUGGUGUCAUACAGCCUGCCUGGACUGAGGUCCGCGCUUCGGCUAGGAUGCUGGCGUAAUGGUUGUAAGCGGCCCGUCUUGAAACACGGACCAAGGAGUCUAACAUCUAUGCGAGUGUUUGGGUGUCAAACCCGUGCGCGUAAUGAAAGUGAACGGAGGUGGGAACUUUUUGUGCACCAUCGACCGAUCCUGAUGUCUUCGGAUGGAUUUGAGUAAGAGCAUAGCUGUUGGGACCCGAAAGAUGGUGAACUAUGCCUGAAUAGGGUGAAGCCAGAGGAAACUCUGGUGGAGGCUCGCAGCGGUUCUGACGUGCAAAUCGAUCGUCAAAUUUGGGUAUAGGGGCGAAA